rnacentral:misc_RNA from 1 species
AAGAAGAAAAAGAAAAAAGAGUUAUGUCAUAUAAUCCCUUUAGCCAGUUUAGGCCUGCUGCACAUGGUUGGUUGGGCUUAAGGCAAUGAAUCAGCAGAUCUUCACUGCCAUCUGUUCUGUUGCAACGGUCAAUGUGCAGUGCUUGAAUGAGUCGAUAAUCACUUGCUUGUGAUUGAAUACAACCAAAACUAUACAACCUUUGUUGCUCAGCAUUCUGCCAUAAAACAGGGGGUAGGGGGGUCUCUUUUUAAAUUUUGGCCAAUAGGAUGGGCACUUAUGUGAAGGGGUGCUUAUUUGAGGGAAGGCACUAAUAUUCAAGCAUUUACGGUGUAAGCUCCAGUGGCCAGUGUGGACGAAUUCUUUAUUGUUGCCUGCUGUAAGAGCAGACUUUUUUCUUAGAAUUUGAAACUUUUUCUCAUUUCAGUUUUGUGUGAUGUAUAAAUCCAGGAACAACAGUAGCAUCCAGCGAGAUGACACAAUUGCUAAACUUGCUGCCAUGGUAAUGAAUGCUGGAAAGGGACACACUGUAAACCUGAAUAAGCCUGACUUGGCUAUUUGUGUUGAGAUCAUUAAGAAUGUCUGCUGCUUGAGUGUGGUUAAAGAUUUGUUCAAGCUGAGAAAAUACAACAUUCAUGAAGUGAACAAGCAAAUCAUCCAAUCUCAGUCCAAUCUCAACAGUGCAGAGCAAGAGGAUGAAAAGGCCAAUGACCCAAGUGUUGAAAAAACAAAUGACAAUAGUCAAGACAUACCUGAAACAGAUGUAAGUCAUACUGGUGAUAAAAGGGUUAACGAUACAGUUGUUGAAGAUAAAGUUAUUCACGACACAGUUGUUCAAGAUACAGUCACAGCAAAUCCAAAUAUCAUAAUAAAGGAAAACCAAGGGUAAUCUUUCAAGGAGAUUAUAAAAUGAGACCACCAGAGUGUUGUUGAUUCAUUCAUUAAGGAGCAUUUACAGGUGAAAGAGUCUUCAGGUAAAAGACAAGUUCAUGAUAUCGAACCAGCUUUCUUCUUUUCUCCAACUUACC